AACGAACGCUGGCGGCAUGCCUAACACAUGCAAGUCGAACGAGACCUUCGGGUCUAGUGGCGCACGGGUGCGUAACGCGUGGGAACCUGCCCUUAGGUUCGGAAUAACUCCCCGAAAGGGGUGCUAAUACCGGAUAAUGUCUUCGGACCAAAGAUUUAUCGCCUUUGGAUGGGCCCGCGUUGGAUUAGCUAGUUGGUAGGGUAAAAGCCUACCAAGGCGACGAUCCAUAGCUGGUCUGAGAGGAUGAUCAGCCACACUGGGACUGAGACACGGCCCAGACUCCGACGGGAGGCAGCAGUGGUGAAUAUUGGACAAUGGGCGAAAGCCUGAUCCAGCAAUGCCGCGUGAGUGAUGAAGGCCUUAGGGUUGUAAAGCUCUUUUACCCGGGAUGAUAAUGACAGUACCGGGAGAAUAAGCUCCGGCAAACUCCGU
rnacentral:rRNA from 1 species